UGAUCAUUUUAUUGUUACUGGAUCUGGAGACAAGAAGGCUACAGUGUAUGAAGUUAUACUAUGAGUAGGUGAUAUUUGACUUGUAAUGAAUAAUGCAAUCUACACUUGAGUUUAGUCUCUUUGUUGCAAGUACUGACUACAAAACUCUCAUGUAAUAUAAAAUCUCUAAUAAUUCCAGUUAAGAUAUUGUUUGUCAUGUUUGCUAU